AUUGAACGCUGGCGGCAGGCCUAAUACAUGCAAGUCGAGCGAGCGGCGGACGGGUGAGUAAGGUCUGGGAAACCGCCUGUUGGCUGGGGAUAACAACUGGAAACGGUAGCUAAUACCGCAUACCAUCAGAUGUGCCCAGUUGGGAUUAGCUAGUGGGUGGGGUAACGGCUCACCUAGGCGACGAUCCCUAGCUGGUCUGAGAGGAUGACCGGCCACACUGGAACUGAGACACGGUCCAGACUCCUACGGGAGGCAGCAGUGGGGAAUAUUGGACAAUGGGCGCAAGCCUGAUGCAGCCAUGCCGCGUGUGUGAAGAAGGCCUUCGGGUUGUAAAGCACUGUCAGCGGGGAGGCGUUACCCAAAGAGGAAGCACCGGCUAACUCCGUGCCAGCAGCCGCGGUAAUUC
rnacentral:rRNA from 1 species